GAUAGAACGGCAGCUAAAGUGCUUGGCAUUUCAAAACCCUGGACCGCAGGUGGCAGAUUUUAACCCUGAGACAAGGCAGCAGAAAAAGAAAGCGCGGAUGUCGAAGAUGAAUGAAUAUUUUUCUGUGAAGUACAAGGUGAUGAAGAAGUAUGACAAAAGUGGCAGGCUGAUCUGUAACGAUGUGGACCUGUGCGACUGCCUGGAGAAGAACUGCCUGGGGUGCUUCUACCCGUGCCCCAAGUGCAACUCCAACAAGUGUGGGCCAGAGUGCCGGUGCAACCGCCGCUGGGUCUAUGAUGCCAUCGUCACUGAGUCUGGCGAGGUCAUCAGCACCCUGCCAUUUAGUGUUCCUGACUAGGAGAUAUUAUGC